rnacentral:rRNA from 1 species
AUUGAACGCUGGCGGCAGGCCUAACACAUGCAAGUCGAACGAGUGGCGGACGGGUGAGUAAUGCUUGGGAAUCUAGCUUAUGGAGGGGGAUAACUAUGGGAAACGGUAGCUAAUACCGCGUACCAUAGGAUGAGACCAGGUGGGAUGAGGUUGUUGGUGAGGUAAAGGCUCACCAAGCCGACGAUCUCUAGCUGGUCUGAGAGGAUGACCAGCCACACUGGAACUGAGACACGGUCCAGACUCCUACGGGAGGCAGCAGUGGGGAAUAUUGCGCAAUGGGGGCAACCUGACGCAGCCAUGCCGCGUGUAUGAAUAAGGCCUUCGGGUUGUAAAGUUCUUUCGGUCGGGAGGCGUUACCCACAGAAGAAGCACCGGCUAACUCCGUGCCAGCAGCCGCGGUAAUAC